ensembl:lncRNA
AGUCUGUGCACGUAACUGUAGAAGCCAACUGAAUGCUAAUAAGAGUUUUCUUGUUGCUUUUUUUUUGGUGAGGAGGAACUCCGCUGCUCUUCCGCGGUCUGUGACCUAAGCAAGCGAAACGGGAAGAGUAAUAAAUCCACAUGUUUCGAGGACGCUGAUAAAGAGGCGCUUUCUUGCAAAUGUGGUGUUAGGGCGCGCUUGUCCGUCUUGGCCUUUCUUGUCUUCAUCCAGUAUUGACAGCUGCUUGAGAACAGAUGGACCACUUAACUGGUUUAGAAUGGCAAUUUUUGUUUUCUGUGGGUUGUAAACUUAAUAGAGGAAAUAUGGUCUUGUGGUUAAAGCACAAGACUGGAAAUCAAGUGAUCCAUGUUCUGUUCCAGCUGCAGAGUUUCUGGUGUGAUUUUAAGUAAAUCAACUGAAUGUAUUUCUGUGUAAAACGGGGUAGGAAAGAACUCAUUUCCCAAGCGCUUCUUCUUUCAAAUAUGGAGAAAAUGCACUUUAGUGAUGGAGGAAUCAUCUUUUUUUCUGAAAAGAAAACUUUCUGCCUAGUGAAAGCCCAUGAGAGGCACAAGAUGAAUAACCAUGAUGGAUAUGAGAGAUGGAAAAGGAGGGAGAGAGGCUUCCUAUGCUUUUCUUUCUUUUGAUGGCAAAAUCGCAACAAAGGGGGUAUGAUGCUAUGAUGCUCCAAACAACUGUGCUAGAUUUUUUUGUUUGUUUGUUUGAUCUUUGGAACUUUAAUAUGUGAUCAAACCUGAAAGCAUUAUUACUGCGGACSCCAUACUUCUCCAUUCUUGUUCUGAAGUCAGAUUCUUAAUCUUACAACUUGAGUGGAUGAUCUCCUUUUUAAAAUUUUCAUAUUAAUAGAAUAUUAUCAGGGUUUGAUGAAAUUCUGUCUCAUGAUAGAAUGCAAGCGCUUUAUUAAACAUAGUGUGCAUUUCCACACUUGUUUGAAUAGUCUUUGCAAAUAAUGUUAUAAUCUUAAAUAUUCCAGAGGACUUUUUUGAUUGCAAGAAGAUGUUCUCUAUAUUUUCUUCACAGUUGUCUGAAGGAAAAUCCAAGAAGUCUUUUGUUUUAUUGCUCUUGGCUGAAUUGCAUACCUGCAGAAAUGCUGCUUCUAUGGCAAUUUUAAGUGCGUCCCCAUUUCUUCCUUCCCCACCAAUUUAAUGUUUCAUAUUGAUUAAUAUGCAGGUUUCUCUUCAUGUCUGUGAUAGCUUUAUCAAAAUAAUUUUUAGUGUGUUAAUGUUUCUUUUUAAAAUAUUUUUAUAUAAUUUUUUAGGUUAGCAAGUUCAGUUUAUUGAAAGCAGGAGAGCAGCUUGUACUCAAAAUUCAAAGGUAUUUAUUCUUGUGCAAACUGAGAACACUUGAGACGUUUCAUGGCUAACAUUGAUAAACAACUCAUUAAAAGCAAAUUGAGCAGUAAUUUAAGACUUUUGCUGUUAUCGUUAGUAGUGAUGUAAGUUGCUACAUUGCUUUCUGGAAACCUUUUUAGCCGUGUUCCUGUGACCACGUAGAAAAGUUUGGCUGGCACUUCGGUGUGCUUGACCAGUGUGGGUUGGCAAGGUGCAGAACGCCGUCUGCCAAGUCUGUAUCCCUACUGACCUACCACCAAGGUUGAGCCUGCCAGGACCGUCAUCCUUGACAGAG